UACGAGGGGGGCUAGCGUUGCUCGGAAUCACUGGGCGUAAAGCGCACGUAGGCGGAUCUUUAAGUCAGGGGUGGAAUCCUGGAGCUCAACUCCAGAACUGCCUUUGAUACUGGGGAUCUCGAGUCCGGGAGAGGUGAGUGGAACUGCGAGUGUAGAGGUGAAAUUCGUAGACAUUCGCAAGAACACCAGUGGCGAAGGCGGCUCACUGGCCCGGUACUGACGCUGAGGUGCGAAAGCGUGGGGAGCAAACAGG
rnacentral:rRNA from 1 species